GGGGUUGUGGCUCAUUUGGUAGAGCAUUUGCUCAGCAUGCAGAAGGUCCAAGGUUCGAUUCCUGGCAUCUCCA